rnacentral:rRNA from 1 species
UACGUAGGGCGCAAGCGUUGUCCGGAAUUAUUGGGCGUAAAGAGCUCGUAGGUGGUUUGUCGCGUCUGUCGUGAAAGCCCGGGGCUUAACUCCGGGUCUGCGAUGGAUACGGGCAGACUAGAGGUCAGGUAGGGGAGAACGUGAAUUCCCGGUGUAGCGGUGAAAUGCGCAGAUAUCGGGAGGAACACCGGUGGCGAAGGCGGUUCUCUGGGCCGAUACCUGACGCUGAGGAGCGAAAGCGUGGGGAGCGAACAGG